AGAGUUUGAUCAUGGCUCAGGACGAACGCUGGCGGCGCGCCUAACACAUGCAAGUCGAACGGAGUUGUGUUGAAAGCUUGCUGGAUAUACAACUUAGUGGCGGACGGGUGAGUAACACGUGAGUAACCUGCCUUUCAGAGUGGAAUAACGUUUGGAAACGAACGCUAAUACCGCAUAACAUGAGAGAACGGCAUCGUUCUUUCAUCAAAGAUUUUAUCGCUGAGAGAUGGGCUCGCGGCCGAUUAGGUAGUUGGUGAGAUAACAGCCCACCAAGCCGACGAUCGGUAGCCGG
rnacentral:rRNA from 1 species